rnacentral:pre_miRNA from 1 species
AGUGAAAUUGCUGGGUCAUAUAAUUACUCUGUUUAACUUUUUGAAGAACUGCCUGGCCAAAUUCCAAAGCCUCUUCAUUACUCUGCAUUCCCACCAGCAAU